rnacentral:sRNA from 1 species
AGAUGGGAGAUGGGGCGAAGGGACAGCUGGUGGCCUUAGUAACGGGGAGCACGUUGGAACUGCCAUAGAGUAGUCCCGCUGGUGGGGAAGUAAGCGCUGAAAGCUGGCCUGCAGCAAGGUCUGGAGAAGUGGGGAGAGGAAGACUGAAUGGAGGCAGCUCACCAGGAUCUUUUACUCUGAUUGGGAGCAGAACAGUGGAGGGGUGGGUGAAAGGAGACCCGGGCAGGGACUGGGGAAGGGCCUUGAUUUCUGCUGUGGUGUUUUAAGGUACAAACUCUUAAUGAGCAGGAUUGGGAACGUGCCCAGCAAGCUACUGUCUUGGCAAAUGUAGCACAAGCAUUCGAGAGUGAUGCUGACAUGUCUGAUGGUGAAGAUGACAGGGACACUCUCCUCAGCUCAGUUGACCUGCUGUCGCCCAGCGGGCAGGCCGACGCGCACACACUAGCCAUGAUGCUUCAGGAGCAGCUGGACGCCAUCAACAAAGAGAUCAGGUUGAUUCAGGAAGAAAAAGAAAAUACAGAGCAGCGGGCAGAGGAGAUUGAAAGUCGAGUUGGCAGUGGAAGU